rnacentral:lncRNA from 1 species
GAAAUGCAGAAAUCAACCGUCUUCUGCGUUGCUCACGCUGGGAGCUGUAGACCAGAACUGUUCCUAUUCGGCCAUCUUGGCUCGGAAUUCCUAUUCGGUACAUUUCAAUGUCUUCCCAUCUUUGUUAGGUAGAGUCUAACUUCCUUACCAUGGUCUACAGUGGCCUUCAGAAAAUGGCUACCUGCCACCUCCAUGACGAUCAUGUUUCCCAUUGCUCACUCCAUUCCAGCCACACUGACUUUUUCAUGAUCCCUUGAACAUGCCAAGCCCCUUUCUGAGACAAAAGAAUUUCAAAGUACCCUUCGAAAGGUAUGGUACUAUACAAUCCCACCGACAGUAUAUUGUUUCUUAUUUGGUGUUUUUUUUAAUGUGGGAUACCUUUUGGAAACAUGCAGGUUGUUAAUUAUAAAUAAGAAUGAAUCACAGAACUCUGGCAGGCAAUAAAAGUUACUCUUUUUCUCUUGCAGGGGAUGGUGAGGGAAACUUAUUAGACAAUGAAGGAGUUUACCUCCAGCUUGCUUUCCACAAUUUG